UUAACUUAAAGGAAUUGACGGAAGGGCCCCCCCAGGSGUGGACCCUGCGGCUUAUUUGACUCAACACGGGGAAACUCACCAGGUCCAGACAAAAUAAGGAUUGACAGAUUGAGAGCUCUUUCUUGAUCUUUUGGAUGGUGGUGCAUGGCCGUUCUUAGUUGGUGGAGUGAUUUGUCUGCUUAAUUGCGAUAACGAACGAGACCUCGGCCCUUAAAUAGCCCGGUCCGCAUUUGCSGGCCGCUGGSUUCUUARGRGGACUAUCGGCUCAAGCCGAUGGAAGUGCGAGGCAAUAA
rnacentral:rRNA from 1 species